GACGUAGGGGGCCAGCGUUGCUCGGAAUUACUGGGCGUAAAGGGUUCGUAGGCGGUGCGGCAAGUCUUGAGUGAAAUCUCCCGGCUCAACCGGGAUGCUGCUUAGGAAACUGCCGUGCUCGAGGCCGGGAGAGGCGCGUGGAAUUGCAGGUGUAGCGGUGAAAUGCGUAGAUAUCUGCAGGAACACCAGAGGCGAAAGCGGCGCGCUGGACCGGUUCUGACGCUGAGGAACGAAAGCUAGGGGAGCAAACAGG
rnacentral:rRNA from 1 species